rnacentral:rRNA from 1 species
UACGGGGGGAGCAAGCGUUGUUCGGAUUUACUGGGCGUAAAGGGCGCGUAGGCGGCCAGCACAAGUCAGUUGUGAAAUCUCCGAGCUUAACUCGGAACGGUCAACUGAUACUGUGCGGCUAGAGUGCAGAAGGGGCAACUGGAAUUCUUGGUGUAGCGGUGAAAUGCGUAGAUAUCAAGAGGAACACCUGCGGCGAAGGCGGGUUGAUGGGCUGACACUGACGCUGAGGCGCGAAAGCUAGGGGAGCGAACGGG